UACGUAGGGUGCAAGCGUUGUCCGGGAUUAUUGGGCGUAAAGAGCUCGUAGGUGGCUUGUCACGUCGGGUGUGAAAGCUUGGGGCUUAACUCCAGGUCUGCAUUCGAUACGGGCUGGCUAGAGGUAGGUAGGGGAGAACGGAAUUCCUGGUGUAGCGGUGAAAUGCGCAGAUAUCAGGAGGAACACCGGUGGCGAAGGCGGUUCUCUGGGCCUGAUCUGACGCUGAGGAGCGAAAGCGUGGGGAGCGAACAGG
rnacentral:rRNA from 1 species